UAGCUCAGUCAGUAGAGCAUCAGACUUUUAAUCAGAUGGUCCAGGGUUCAAGUCCUUG
rnacentral:tRNA from 1 species